rnacentral:rRNA from 1 species
AACGAACGCUGGCGGCAUGCCUAACACAUGCAAGUCGAACGAGACCUUCGGGUCUAGUGGCGCACGGGUGCGUAACGCGUGGGAACCUGCCCUUAGGUUCGGAAUAACUCCCGAAAGGGGUGCUAAUACCGGAUAAUGUCUUCGGACCAAAGAUUUAUCGCCUUUGGAUGGGCCCGCGUUGGAUUAGCUAGUUGGUAGGGUAAAAGCCUACCAAGGCGACGAUCCAUAGCUGGUCUGAGAGGAUGAUCAGCCACACUGGGACUGAGACACGGCCCAGACUCCUACGGGAAGCAGCAGUGGGGAAUAUUGGACAAUGGGCGAAAGCCUGAUCCAGCAAUGCCGCGUGAGUGAUGAAGGCCUUAGGGUUGUAAAGCUCUUUUACCCGGGAUGAUAAUGACAGUACCGGGAGAAUAAGCUCCGGCUAACUCCGUG